rnacentral:rRNA from 1 species
CAGUAGCCGCGGUAAUACGGAGGGUGCGAGCGUUAAUCGGAAUUACUGGGCGUAAAGCGUACGCAGGCGGUCUGUUAAGUCAGAUGUGAAAUCCCCGGGCUUAACCCGGGAACUGCAUUUGAAACUGGCAGGCUAGAGUCUCGUAGAGGGGGGUAGAAUUCCAGGUGUAGCGGUGAAAUGCGUAGAGAUCUGGAGGAAUACCGGUGGCGAAGGCGGCCCCCUGGACGAAGACUGACGCUCAGGUACGAAAGCGUGGGGAGCAAACAGGAUUAGAUACCCCGGUAGUCCCUGUCUCUUAUGC